UUUUACAAAGCAAAAAAGAGUAAAGGGACAGCCUCAGAAGCUAAGUGGUCUGGGGUGUGAGUAGUACUUGGAUGGGAGACCACCCUCGAAUCCAAUAUCUGUAACAA
rnacentral:rRNA from 1 species